rnacentral:rRNA from 1 species
CCCUUAGAUGUUCUGGGCCGCACGCGCGCUACACUGAAGGCAUCAGCGUGUCCUUCCCUCCCCGAGAGGGGCGGGUAACCCGCUGAACCGCUUUCGUGGUAGGGAUCGGGGCUUGCAAUUAUUCCCCGUGAACCAGGAAUUCCCAGUAAGCGCGAGUCAUAAGCUCGCGUUGAUUACGUCCCUGCCCUUUGUACACACCGCCCGCCGCUACUACCGAUUGAAUGUUUCGGUGAAGAUUCCGGAUAGGACUUUUUUGAUUUAUUUCAAUUUUGUCUUAAAAGCUAUCUAAACCUCAGCAUUUAGAGGAAGGUGAAGUCGUAACA